UGAAACUGAGCCAGUCAUGGUUCUUCUUGAAAGGCAUGAAAUGGGGCUGGGACCUCUAGGAAAACCAUGAAAGCUGAAGUUGAAAGGUCUUCUGGAACACCCUUGGAGUCCAUUCCUCAUCACAACUAAAAUAUUGAGAAAGGAGAGCAAAAUAGUUGAAGUCAGUGAACAGAGUUUCUUCCCCAGUGCUGGAACCAUGGUCCAUCAGAGAAGAAAGAGCGAGGGAGUGAUGGAGAGAGAGAACUGAUGCAAGGUGAAAGAUCAUGCCUCAGGACACACUACCUGCAUAUGUCAGUGACACUGACCACUGAGGAGAAGCACUCCAAAAAGUAUUAAACAGGUGUUAGUUUAAAUGUUGAUCCAGAAGCUAGAAGAUACAAGAGAAGGAUGUGAUGAUGGAAUCUUCAGGGGCUGUGCUGAAUAGGUGAAGGAGACUCAAACUGAAUUAGGAUGUGCAGUACGAGAGAGCUGGAUACAGUAACCUCUUGAGAUCUCCACCAUCAAUUGCUGUCAGUAAGGAAUCUGUGGCCAGAAGAACUGGAAGGGCAUUUUGGAAGGUGCAUGAGGCUCCUGCCAGAGCUAGUCCCUCACAACCCUCACUUUAGGGAGUAUCUGCCUUAAGUCUUGCAAGACUCAUACACUAUUCCUUCAUCAAACCACAUUCUGCUUUUUUAUCAUGACCAGUUGCAGCUGGCAGACCUGAAUACUUACUGCUGGUCUUGCAGCCAGACAGAGCUGCCAGUACAUGAAGCAUCUCUCUGCCAUGGAACUUCCUGUCUUGAACAGUCCUUCAGUCCAGCAGAGGAUGAAGCUUCCCAGCACUUCUGCAUCUUCAGGAGUUCUUGAUUCCUAUAUCUGAAGACUGGUGAUGUUGCUGAAUGCUUUGACCUCCAGUGUAACCCAGACCAAAGAACAUCAGACAAUAUUUUGCAUUUUGUUUCAGUGGUUGCUGCACUCAGGAAGUGUGAAUACUUGGAUCUUCACUCCGAGUGAAGCAAGU